AGGACGAACGCUGGCGGCGUGCUUAACACAUGCAAGUCGAGCGGAAAGGCCCUUCGGGGUACUCGAGCGGCGAACGGGUGAGUAACACGUGGGUAACCUGCCCCUUGCUCUGGGAUAACUCCGGGAAACCGGGGCUAAUACCGGGUAUGACACUCGCAGGCAUCUGCUGGGUGUGGAAAGUUUUUCGGCGAGGGAUGGGCCCGCGGCCUAUCAGCUUGUUGGUGGGGUGAUGGCCUACCAAGGCAGUGACGGGU
rnacentral:rRNA from 1 species